rnacentral:rRNA from 1 species
GAUGAACGCUGGCGGCGUGCCUAACACAUGCAAGUCGAGCGAUUCUCUUCGGAGAAGAGCGGCGGACGGGUGAGUAACGCGUGGGUAACCUGCCCUGUACACACGGAUAACAUACCGAAAGGUAUGCUAAUACGAGAUAAUAUACUUUUAUCGCAUGGUAGAAGUAUCAAAGCUCCGGCGGUACAGGAUGGACCCGCGUCUGAUUAGCUAGUUGGUAAGGUAACGGCUUACCAAGGCGACGAUCAGUAGCCGACCUGAGAGGGUGAUCGGCCACAUUGGAACUGAGACACGGUCCAAACUCCUACGGGAGGCAGCAGUGGGGAAUAUUGCACAAUGGGCGAAAGCCUGAUGCAGCAACGCCGCGUGAGCGAUGAAGGCCUUCGGUCGUAAGACUCUGUCCUCAAGAAGAUAAUGACGGUACUUGAGGAGGAAGCCCCGGCCUAACUACGUG